UCAAACUAAUAUAGAAGGAGAAAAAAAAAAUCCAUCCGCCAGUCGGAGGGAGAGGCGGAAGGACAUGCAGUAGUUCGGCAUUCACGUAAGGAAAAAGGAAACUGAAACUUAACCAGAACAGAAUCUCCGCCAAAACGAAACCUCCGCCAAAGCCGAAUCUCCGCCAAAAUUGAGAAAGAAAGUGCACAACAGUUAAAAAACCAUCAUCAAGUCCCGGAGUGGCAGCCGGUUUUUCACCUUUCAACUUUCUACUUUCUACUUUCAACUUUCCAACGUUAUACUUUUUACCUGCCUUUCUGCUGCAUUUAUGAUGCAAUAAAUGGAUGAGUGGAAUCCAGUUAAAAC